UAUGCGGGCCGGACGGUCGCGUGGGAUAUGCUCCCAUGAGGAAAGUCCGGGCUUCUAGAGGCAGGAUGCCGGCUAACGGCCGGGCGGGGAAACCCGACGGAAAGUGCUGCAGAAAAGAAAACUCCCACUGGCGCGAAUCGCGUUAAGGGAAAAGCUGAGAAGGUGCGGUAAGAGCGCACCAGCACGCUGGCAACAGCGUGGCUUGGUAAACCCCAUCCGAAGCAAGGGCGAAUAGGCAUGCAACACGGCGCGCCUCUCCGUGCAUGCGGGUAGCCUGCUCGAGACGUGCGGUAACACACGCCCAAGAUAAAUGGCCGUCUUCGAAGACAGAACCCGGCUUACAGGCCCGCUACGGC
rfam:Slackia piriformis YIT 12062 genomic scaffold supercont1.1, whole genome shotgun sequence.